rnacentral:rRNA from 1 species
UGGGGAAUUUUGGACAAUGGGCGCAAGCCUGAUCCAGCCAUGCCGCGUGCGGGAAGAAGGCCUUCGGGUUGUAAACCGCUUUUGGCAGGAACGAAACGGCGCCGACUAAUACUCGGCGCUAAUGACGGUACCUGCAGAAUAAGCACCGGCUAACUACGUG